GAAUAUUGCACAAUGGGCGCAAGCCUGAUGCAGCAACGCCGCGUGAGGGAUGACGGCCUUCGGGUUGUAAACCUCUUUUGUCAGGGAAGAAGCCUUUGGGUGACGGUACCUGGAGAAAAAGCACCGGCCAACUACGUGCCAGCACCCGCGGUAAUACGUAGGGUGCACGCGUUGUCCGGAAGUAUUGGGCGUAAAGAGCUCGUAGGCGGCUUGUCGCGUCUGCUGUGAAAACCCGAGGCUCAACCUCGGGCCUGCAGUGGGUACGGGCAGGCUAGAGUGCGGUAGGGGAGAUUGGAAUUACUGGUGUAGCGGUGGAAUGCGCAGAUAUCAGGAGGAACAACGAUGGCGAAGGCAGAUCUCUGGGCCGCUACUGACGCUGAGGAGCGAAAGCAUGGGGAGCGAACAG
rnacentral:rRNA from 1 species